rfam:Camelus ferus unplaced genomic scaffold scaffold472, whole genome shotgun sequence.
GAGGGUAUAGCUCAGUGGUAGAGCACGUGCCUAGCAUGCCUGCGGUCCUGGGUUCAAUCCCCAAUACCUCCA